CAGGAGACAUAGUUAUAAUUGAGGUAAGUUUGGAGACACUACCUUAUUUAAUCAUUUAAUUAAUACAAUUUUUGUUGGAUCUCUUUUUGGUGUUGUAGUUUGUAGAUGGUCUCUAAGCACUCGUCUUACUGCCGAAAGAAGUAGUAGCAG